UUGCACGCUGGCGGCAGGCCUAACACAUGCCAGUCGAACGGUAACAGGAAGCAGCUUGCUGCUUCGCUGACGCGUGGCGGACGGGUGAGUAAUGUCUGGGAAGCUGCCUGAUGGAGGGGGAUAACUACUGGAAACGGUAGCUAAUACCGCAUAAUGUCGCAAGACCAAAGAGGGGGACCUUCGGGCCUCUUGCCAUCGGAUGUGCCCAGAUGGGAUUAGCUUGUUGGUGGGGUAACGGCUCACCAAGGCGACGAUCCCUAGCUGGUCUGAGAGGAUGACCAGCCACCCGGGAAUUGGACCACGGUCCAGACCCCUACGGGAGGCAGCAGGGGGAAUUUUGCACAAAGGGGCGCAACCCUAUUCCAGCCCUGCCGGGGGGAUGAAAAAGGCCUUCGGGUUGUAAAGUACUUUACGCGGGGGGGAAGGGAGUAAAUUUAAUCCCUGUCCUCUUGGACGUUCCCCGCAAAAGAAGCCCCGCCUACCUCCGU
rnacentral:rRNA from 1 species